GGCUGGUCUGAAGGUAGUGAGGCAUCUCAACUGACUGUUCACAGUCGGUUACAGACCGACCUCCUUGUUCUCUUCUUUCCUCCCUUCUCACUACUGCACUUGACAAGUCUUAA
ensembl:misc_RNA Y_RNA Y RNA